UUAGAAUGUGUCCUUAACGACUGAGAGAUUUUUUACAAUAGUUUUUGUCUUUCCUUUUUAGUAGCAUAUUUUGCUACUGAUGUACUGGGAAGUUCAUUAGUAGCUGCAAUGCUGCCGCAACGUUCCUCCCUGCAGGGAUUGAUGGCCAUGGGUGGAAUCCUCUUGAGCUCCCCUUGUCCAGGCUGAGCAGUCACUUCUCUCAGGCUGUUGUCAUAGAAGAGGUGUUCCGUCCCUUCACCAUCAUGGUAGCCCUCCAUUGGACUCUUUCCAGUGUGUCCAGCUGUCUCUUGUACUGGGAGCCCAGACCCGGACACUGUUCUCCAGGUACAGCCUCACCAGUGCCUGGUAGAGCAAAAGGAAUGGUGCUGAGUAAUGGUCCUUACCUGCUCCAAGAGAAGGAGCUAGGGCUGUGAUGGGAGCACACUGCUUUAUGGCUGACACGGAGAUCUGCUAGGAAGAAGGCCUGGUGGGACUGAACACAGAUGCAAGGAGGUCCAGCUUUUGUUUCACUGUAGACUCUGUGGGCAGCUGCAUGGAGUUAUGUACUCGAUAUAGUUGUGCCCCUGUGGCUUCUUUCUGAUGUGCCUGGGAAGUCCCCUUAGAAUAGACUGCUGCCUGAGACAGAAGUCUGAUACAACAUCACUUGUGUGGGUGGAGUUUUACUAUCUCCGUGUUCACGUCUAUUAUGUGCUUUGUUUUGUUUAAAUUCAACUCUCUGUGUGCAUGGGCGCAAGUCUGCCUUUGCUAAAUCCUUUUCUUGUGGCCUUAGGCAACAAUCAAGGGGAUCUCGAGCUUCAGCGCUGAGCAAGAAGCACAGCACUCAGGAAGGCCAUGAAGGGCUCUGCUAAGUUGAUCUCCCUCCACAGGCACGGAUGAAGAGAUCAUCAUUGACAUCUUGACCAAACUAAAUGCUUCCCAACGUCAGCAAGUUCCGAUCACCUAAAAGGUCUACAGAGAUGUGUGAAGGCGGUUGUGUCACUGGGGUGAAAAGUGAAAAAGGACCCAAUCUCCAUGAGAGAAAGGUUGGCAGAGAA